CCAGAAGAAGGGGGGUGAACGGUGUGAGCAAAGACCGUGAGGCUGGAGGCUGGCCACGGGAGGUGUGAGGGGUAGGGGCAGGGUGGGAGGUGGGCUCGCGGGUGGGCUGGGGUCAUGAAGGGCCUCAGGCGCUCUGCUAUUGGGUUCCAAGGCUAUCCUGAGAACAGGGGUGAGGGGGGAUUGCCGUGGGGGGUUAAAGCCUUGUCAUGUUCGCUUUCGGGAGGUAAAAACAACAGGUGGCCUUUAUGGAGACGCUGCCCAGAGCCAGGUCUGUGCCAGGCUCCUGUUGGGGGUCGUCAUGCGGAAUCCUGACUCUGACCAUCCGAGGCAUAGGGACCGUGGAGAUUUGCAUUUCACAGAUGAGGAAACAGGCUCCAGGCUCCUCGCCGGGACAGUGUCUCCUUGGGUGCGUGCUGGAUCCCUGGGGGACGUGGCACAUCCCCAGGCUUGCUAAACAUUGGGUGGGUUCUGGCAUUUGGUUUUGUAACGUUUCUGGGUCACUCCCGCCUGUGGCCACCCUUCCUUAGGGGAGCCUUGUGUCCUUGGGGCUUUGCUGGGUGGUCUCGAGGGUGGGAGAAGAAUGGGUUCUCCUGGACCAAUGGAGCCCGUGCCCCUCGGGGCCACAUUGCUCCUGCGCUCCCUGACUGCGGACGCGUGUGUCUCGCGGCUGUCUCUGUGGAGAUGGCCUCCUCCUGCCUGGCAGCAGCGCCCACAGAAUUGCAUCAGACCUACCCCACCCGUUGUUUCUGAUGCUGUAGCUGAGGGCUCCUCUGUCUGCCAGGCCGGUCACUGGGGACUCUGUCCAGGUCCUGGUGGUUCCUGCUUCCCAGCACCUGAUGGUGUCCAUGAGAGCAGCCCCUCAGGAGCUGUCCAGGAGAGAAGGGCGCUGGUGGCUGCUGAGCAGAGGGCAAGGCCCGUGUUCUCCAGGCCCUUGGCACAGCAGUGGAGCCCCCGCCCCUGCCUUGUGUUGUCCUCUUAGGCUCUGGUCCUGGGGUUUGGAGGAGGGGGACCCUGGGAGUUGGUGGCCUGUCCCAGCCUGAGCUGGCAAGAUUCCGAAUGCCAGGCCCCUCAAGUGUGCAACAGGGCACAGGGUGACCUCAUGUGGGCAGGUGGGUGCUGUUCUGUACACACCUGGGGCCGCCGCUGGGAGAGUUCUGGAAGGUGGGGUGAGGGGACCCAUGGGAAACUAGGGCCUUAGGAAGGAUGUUAAGGCCCUGGCUGGCCCCCCAGGCCACCCUCUGUGCUGUGGGGGCAGCCCAGCCAUUUUGCUGUCUACCCUGCAAACUCCUCCUCGGGGAGACGGCUGGGUUUUCCCCAGGGAAGAGGGGUCAAGCUGGGAGAGGUGAAGGACACAGAUCACAGCUGCUGGCAGGUGUUUAAGGGUCCAGGAGCGUUGCUGUCGGGGUGUCACCAGUAGCCUUCCUGGGGGGCUCACGCAGGUGCCUCUCCACUUGUGGCUCCCUGGCUGCUGAAGCUCAGCAGGGACAGCUGUGUCCAGUUCCAGGUGGAGGACAGCCAGGGCUUCUGAGGCCACAGCCUGCCUUGGGUUAAUGAUGCUGCCGAGAGGUGGUGGCUUUUGGAAAAGAUGGCAUACUGCAAAACGUGCUGCUCUGUGUGGCUCGAAGCUUCGUGGGGAGACGUGGGCAGAGCCGUGGCUGACUCACAGACCCCCCACCCCAGAGCCUGCCCUGCCCUCCCUGCCCUCCCUGCCCCGAGCCUUCUCCCUCCUGACCCAUGUGUUUUUUUUUUUUUUUUUUUUUUUUUUGAGACAGAGUUCACUCUUGUUGCCAAGGCUGGAGUGCAAUGGCACGAUCUCGGCUCAUGGCAACCUCCGCCUCCUGGGUUCAAGCGCUUUUCCUGCCUCAGCCUCCCGAGUAGCUGGGAUUACAGGCGUGCACCACCAUGCCUGGCUAAUUUUGUAUUUUUAGUAGAGACAGGGUUUCUCCAUAUUGGUCAGGCUGGUCUUGAACUCCUGACCUCAGAUGAUCCGCCCGCCUCGGCCUCCCACAGUGCUGGGAUUACAGGCAUGAGCCACCACGCCCAGCCCUGACCCAUGUUUUGAACCAAAUUCCAGCCACCCUUUUAUCUGCAAGCAUUUUGGAGGGCAUCGCAAUACUGCAGACCCACCUAACACAACAGACAAUUCCUUCAUGCCACCGAAGGCCUGGUGUGUUCACAUUUUUGGUUUAAUAGUUUGAAUUAAGAGCCAAAUAAGGUCCACACACUGCAAUUAGUUGACGUCUUUUUUUUUUUUUUUUUUUUUUUUUUUUGAGACGGAGUCUUGCUCUUGUCUGCAGGCCGCAGUGCAGUGGCAUGAUCUCAGCUCACCGCAACCUCCGACUCCCUGGUUCAAGCGAUUCUCCUGCCUCAGCCUCCCGAGUACCUGGUAGCUGGGUUUACAGGCGUGCACCACCGUGCCCAGCUAAUUUUUGUAUUUUUAGUAGAGACGGGGUUUUACCGUGUUGGCCAGGAUGGUCUCGAUCUCCUGACCUCGUGAUCUGCCCACGUCGGCCUCCCAAAGUGCUGGGAUUACAGGUGUGAGCCACCACACCCGGCCAAUGUCUUUUAAAAAUAUAUACGUUUUUGUUUUUGUUUUUGUUUUUUGAGACGGAGUUUCGCUCUUGUUGCCCAGGCUGGAGUGCAGUGGCGCGAUCUCAGCUCACGGCAACCUCCGCCUCCCGGGUUCAAGUGAUUCUCCUGCCUCAGCCUCUCCAGUAGCUCGGAUUACAGGCAUGUGCCACCAUGCCUGGCUAAUUUUGUAUUUUUAGGAGAGACGGGGUUUCUCCACGUUGGUGAGGCUGGUCUCAAACUCCUGACCUCAAGUGAUCCGCCUGCCUUGGCCUCCCAAAGUGUUGGGAUUACAGGUGUGAGCCAGCGUGCCCAGACAAAAAUAUAUAUGUGUCUUUAAGGCUGGUCAAGCAAAGCAUUGGGACUGGAGAAAGAAUGAAGAAUUCUACCUGGCUGUGAUCAAUUCGUUGUGAACACCACUGUGCUUGGACCAGCUAGCUGAUGUCUUUUGUUUUGUUUUGUUUGAGACGGAGUCUGGCUCUGUCACCCAGGCUGGAGGACAAUGGUGUGAUCUCGGCUCACUGCAGCCUCCACCUCCCGGGUUCAAGCGAUUCUCCUGCCUCAGCCUCCUGAGUAGCUGGGAUUAGAGGCGCGUGCCACCACGCCCGGCUAAUUUUUAAAAAUAUUUUUAGUAGAGAUGGGGUUUCACCAUGUUGGUCAGGCUGGUCUUGAACUCUUGGCCUUAGGUGAUCUGCUUGCCUCGGCCUCCCGAAGUGCUGGGAUUACAGGUGUGAGUGAUGCAUUUUAUUUAUUUAUUUAUUUAUUAUUAUUAUUUGAGAUGGAGUCUCACUCUGUUGCCCAGGCUGGAGUGCAGCCGUGCCAUCUCGGCUCACUGCAAGCUCCGCCUCCUGGGUUCACGCCAUUCUCCUGCCUCAGCCUCCCGAGUAGUCUGGACUGGUGCCCGCCACCAUGCCCAGCUAAUUUUUUGUAUUUUUAGUAGAGACGGGGUUUCACCGUGUUAGCCAGGAUGGUCUGGAUCUCCUGACCUCGUGAUCCGCCCGCCUCGGCCUCCCAAAGUGCUGGGACUACAGGCGUGAGCCACCGCCUGUCUUUUAAGUGUCCGAUGAUGCCUAGGAGCUUCCCUUCCUCUCUUUUUCCUUGUGCAAUUUGUUGAAGAAACUGGCUCCUGCAGCCUGGAUUUCUCGCUGUGUCUUGGGGGUGCCACCUCCAUGGUGUCACCUCCGUGGUGCUGUGAGUGUGUCCUUCGUGUUUCUUGUAAAUUGGUCAUUGGAGCCGACAUCCCAUUGUCCCAGAGGUUGUCCUGGCUGGCACUGACCUAGGUGUAGAUGUCAUCAGCUCAGGGCCCCCUGCUCUAAAGGCCACUUCUGGUGCUGGUUGCCACUCACCCUGGCUGGGGGUCACCUGGGUCUGCUGCUGUCUCGCAAAUGCUGGGGUCCAGGACUGGGCACAUCGAGGGACUUGGUAGGUGCUUGGUUCACUGAUGUAAAAUAUAGGAGCACCCGGGGCCUUGCCCUUUCCCACCCGCAUCCCUGAAUGACAGGAGAGUGUGGGAGAGUGUAGGGGCAGGAGGGGCAGACCCCGGGGCCCCUGCCUGGGAUUGGCGUCGGGGAAGACAGGCAUUCUGGAGCGACCCCUAGGCCUGAUGCCUUAGAGCGCAACUGCCAGAGACACAGCUUCCUUGGGGGGCUGGCCAGGCCACGGAGGGGCCCCUGGCUCCCAUUUCUGGUCCCUGGAUCCUGAGAGCGAGGACUAGGGAUUGUCACCAAGGCCUCCAUGAGCCCUCAGCGGAAGGAGGGCCACCCUCGAGGGCUCCGUUAUCACUGGAGCCCGCGUUCAACCAACACGCAGAUGAUUCUCCAAGGACAGAGAUGGAUGAUGGGGAGGGGGCUGGCCUGGAAGGACCCCCAGUGCAGGUGACAUUGAAGCCAGGUUUCAAAGCUCCCACAGGGAGCUGCCCAGAGAGAGUCCCCAAGGGGCAAGGUGACUCGGGGGCAGGGGUAGGGCCUCUGUCAGGAGAGCCUAGGAGAGGCCCGUGUCUUCUAGGAAGAGCCCUGGCAGCAGAGCGGAGGCAGUGAUGAGGACCUGCAUCCUGCAUGUCCAGCUGGCCUCACCCGGGGUCCCUGAGCCGGGUCUUACGUGGCUCCCGCACUCGGGCGUUCAGAAUGUGCCUGCGUGAGAAACGGUAGUUUCUUUAUUAGACAUGGGUGCAAACUCGCCAAACUUGUGGACAAAAAUGUGGACAAGAAGUCACACGCUCACUCCUGUACGCGAUUGCCGGCAGGGGUGGGGGAAGGGAUGGGGAGGCUUUGGUUGUGUCUGCAGCAGUUGGGAAUGUAGGGCACCCGAGCUCCCACACUGCAGAGGCGACUGUGGAGACAGAGAGCACCUGCAGGUCAUCCAUGCAGUAUCGGCUUGCAUCCAGAUCAUACAGGGAACACUAUGAUUCAACAACAGACAGGGACCCCGUUUAAACAUGGACAAGGGGUCACUCACGCCUGGAAUCCCAGCAGUUUGGGAGGCCAGGGUGGGUGGAUCGCUUGAGCCCAGGAGUUUCACACCAGCCUGGGCAACAGGGUGAGACCCCGGUCUCUAAAAAAUAAAAGAACAUUGGCCGGGCGUGGUGGUAUGCAUCUGUGGUCCCAGCUAUUCAGGAGACUGAGGUGGGACAUCACUUGAGCCGAGGAGAUCAAGGCUGCAGUGAGCUGUGAUCACACCACUGCACUCCAGGCUGGGUCACAGAGCAAGACCCUGUCUCAAAAAAAAAAAAAAAAAAAAAAAAUCACAGGAUCUGAACAGAGAUUUCUCCAAAGAAGACGCACAGAUGGCCAACAGCGUGUGAGAAGAUGGUCGGCCUCAUUAGUCAUGAGGGAAACGGAAAUCAAAACCACUGUCCAGCCGGGCGCAGUGCCUCACGCCUGUAAUCCCAGCACUUUAGGAGAGCAGAUGGCUUGAGGCCAGGAGUUUGAGGCCAGCCUGGGCAACAUAGCGAGACCAAUAAAUAGAUAUUAGUGGUGGUGCCUGUAGUCCCAGCUAGUUGGGAGGCUGAGGGGGGAGGAUUCCCUGAGUCUAUGAGGUUGAGACUGCAGUUAGCUGUGAUGGUGCCACUGCACUCCAGCCUGGGCGACUAGGAAACGGUCUUUAAAAAAAAAACAAAACAAAACAGGGUGGGCGCGGU